CACGUAGGGCGCAAGCGUUGUCCGGAAUUAUUGGGCGUAAAGAGCUCGUAGGCGGUCUGUUGCGUCCGCUGUGAAAACUCGGGGCUUAACCCCGAGCCUGCAGUGGAUACGGGCAGACUAGAGUGAUGUAGGGGAGACUGGAAUUCCUGGUGUAGCGGUGAAAUGCGCAGAUAUCAGGAGGAACACCGGUGGCGAAGGCGGCGACCUGGGUAGAUACUGACGCUGAGGUGCGAAAGCGUGGGGAGCAAACAGG
rnacentral:rRNA from 1 species